GUCCAGACUCCUACGGGAGGCAGCAGUGAGGAAUAUUGGUCAAUGGCCGAGAGGCUGAACCAGCCAAGUCGCGUGAGGGAAGAAUGUCCUAUGGAUUGUAAACCUCUUUUGUCAGGGAGCAAAGUCACCCACGUGUGGGUGUUGGAGAGUACCUGAAGAAAAAGCAUCGGCUAACUCCGUGCCAGCAGCCGCGGUAAUACGGGGGAUGCAAGCGUUAUCCGGAUUUAUUGGGUUUAAAGGGUGCGUAGGCUGUGAGGUAAGUCAGCGGUGAAAUGCCCCCGCUCAACGGGGUGAAGUGCCAUUGAUACUGCCUUGCUGGAAUGCGGAUGCCGUGGGAGGAAUGUGUGGUGUAGCGGUGAAAUGCAUAGAUAUCACACAGAACACCGAUUGCGAAGGCAUCUCACGAAUCCGCGAUUGACGCUGAUGCACGAAAGCGUGGGUAUCAAACAGGAUUAGAUACCCUUGUA
rnacentral:rRNA from 1 species